rfam:Daucus carota subsp. sativus cultivar DH1 chromosome 2, whole genome shotgun sequence.
GUGCUUUACUUUCCUGAUUAAUUUGCUGUUAUUUCAUUUAAUUGCAAAUAUUUGUUCAUGUGAAGCUAGAAUAAAUGUUCCCCUCGCUAUCCGGUGCGUCUCGUAAUGGUUCAUUUGGACGUUGGGAAACUACAUUU